CGGGGGGAUACAGGGAUCCCCGACAGAGGGCAGCUCUCGGCCGGGCAGUUCUCGCGAGAGCGGCCUCGGCGGCCUCGGCUCUGCAUCCACGCUCCCUCGCCUAGAAAGGGCCUCCGGGAAGGCAGCGAGCCGUCACACGACACGGAGGUGUGUGAGAAUGUGAGAAACACCUCGGCUAAUUUAUAGAGGAGAAACAGUAAGGCGCUCCUGCACGGGACUCCCCAGCAAGGACGGCUGUUAUCGCUCUGGGGUGAGUGCAACAAUUUGGGAAAGGAGGAGGAGUGAAAAUGGGUACCGGCUCGAUGAAGUGGGCAUCCCCCAUCCUGACCAUCCUCGGCUCCCCAGAUGCCUCUGUGCAAUAGGGUUGAAGACCUAGAACUCAAGAGAGAGAGGCAUCAGAAGAAUACAGUGUUUAACACUACUCCUGUGAAAGCAGAAAGCUUGGAGGAUCUCUGGGAAAACCUGAUUUUUAAGCCCCUAAAUGCCCUCAAGUAAACAUCUCAGAAAGUUUGUCUCAUCGAGGGAAAGCAAAAAAUACCUCAUUUGUUCAUGUGGGAGAAGGAAGCACUCAUGACGUUACGAUCUGGAAUACCAAUAACCAAAAAUCUUAAACCAUAACAUCAGUUAACAAGCCCAACUGCGUCAUGAGCUUGACAGGCCACACAACACCUUUGAGGCGUUGCUGCUGAUUCUUCAGCGGGGCUUGGAAAAGUUUACCUACACAUCGCUCUGCCUCCCUGAAGACAUACGAGCCCAUGGCAUCUCCUUCAUCCUCAGCUACCACUACUGGGAUGAUGAGAUGAUCCUCUGGGAGGCCAUCAAGAGAUGGACUGGAGGAUUCAGCAACAAUCACUUAUGGCUCUGGGGACAUCCUGCAGCCUCACUGUCCCUCUUCCUACAACAGGUUUGUCUCCAGGAUGGUGGCUUCCUACAAUACAGACAAUGCAGCGGUGCAAGGUGAUGUGUAGCUGCAGGCCUGGGUGAUGGAUAUCUUCACCAAUGGUUUCUGGGCCAGACAUCCUCAGGUACCAUUCCAUAGCCCAGUGGGCUCCCGGAGGCUCCUAGGUGUCCCCAGGGCCAGUGGGGGUGCCUUGGAUGGGGCCCUGGUGGCUCUUUGCCCCCUGCUGUUCAGGCAUCCCCUUCUUGCUGAAGACGGUGGCAGAUCUCAACCAGUUUCUUAACCAUGCUGAUGUUCAUUGCUCAGCACAGCAUGCAGCUGUCAACAGUGGACAGGUGGGAAAGGACCAGGGAAUGUGGCAGGGCACGUUUAAUGACAUGGUGAGGUUCAACGUAGUACAAUAUGUUGUUCCAGAAGUAAAAGAACUCUACAACUGGCUUGAAGUUGACUUUCACCCACUCAAGUUAUGUAGCCGUGUCAGCAAGGUACUGAACUGGCUGAAAGACCAAGCUGAAAAGGAACCUGAACUGCAGCUGUAUGUUCCUCACCUGCAAAACAAUACCAUUCUUCGUCUUUUGCAGCAGGUGGCCCAGAUCUAUCCAAGCACUGAAGUGCAGAUGUGCACUUCAGGAAUCCCCAUCUGCCCCGUUCUGGGCAGUUACUCCCUGCUGACCUCUGCACACUGGAGGGAAGUCUCCUACCGAUGCCAUGGAGGACAUCUGUGUCUACCUGCUCUUUAUGACAGUGUUCCCUGUUUGUCCCAGUCUGCACUGAAGGGACAACCUUGUCCAGUGCCUUCGUGCACUGAAGAAAUUGUCCCCAUCUGAAACUUCUGUGCAAGAGUACGGUCCUCUUUUCAUGCUGGGGGGACCAUCUGUCCCCCACUUACACUGGAAGCACAUCCUUCUCAUGCACCACUGGGACAUCCCCAUUGCAUGCCAGAGAACCGUUUCACCUCUGUGUUGGAGAGACGUCCCCAGCUCACUUCAGGACAAUGUCCUCAUCCAACCCGUCCCCACGCCAAAUGGAUGGCCCUACCCAUCCCCUCUGUUGUCUGCAAACUUUCUGCCCACAGUAUGACAUGGAUGCCUUCCUACCCAAUGCACCACCUUCCAUGCGCCACCCGCCACCAGAGGAGAAGGGAAAGACCUUGCUUCAGCACUUCCUGGACACUCUCCCUGAAGUCAACACCACUGCCAACAUCCUGGUGGUUCUCAUCCCCCUCAGCUCCCACCUGGAAGACAUUGUGAGCCUUCCUCACCACUUGGGUACACCCCAGCCCAGACGGUGGUCACCAUUGCCCUGCUGAUGCCAGGUGGCUUGAGGCAACCACGCCAUGUGCCUGAACUUGACAGAGUCCCCAUUCUUUUCUCCCUCCAGAGGCUCCUGGGGCAUUAUCCAGAGGAGCGUUUCACAGAGGCAGAACCCCGGUGGCUCAUCAGGGCCUCCCAGAGAGAAUUGGAAGACGUCCCCAAAUGCAUUGAAGAGAGAAACUUCAAGGCUGAGCUGAGAUACAAUUACAUAAAUCCCCAGGAAAUCAAGAACAGUACCCCUAUCCGAGCUCCCAGCCACACCUGGCAGCCCUAAUACCUGAACACAAGCAUGCCCAGCUUCCAAAACCAGGAUACCCUCAGCACCUAGCACGUAUAAGCACUCAGAACUAAGAACCUCUAGCACCCAGCUACCAGCACACGUUGUAUUCAGUGCACACAAUACACAGAACUUGGCACCUCCAACACUCUUCACACCCAGCAACUGCACCUCACACCAAUGCACCUCACAAUCCAGUAUCCAAAACCCAAACAUCCCCAGGACUCAGCAUUCUCUGCACCAAGAGCUCAGCACCCACCUCAUGUUCACCCUCAGAAGCCCCAGCGUGUGAGCAGCCAGCAUGCCCAGCACACAAAAUUAGGCACCCCCAGCACCCUCUUCUUCAAU